CUUUUUUUUUUUUUUUUUUUUUUUUUUUUUUUUUUUUUUUUUUUUC
rnacentral:ribozyme from 1 species